rnacentral:rRNA from 1 species
AUGGCGAUUGAACCUCUCCGUGUUAAUCUGGACGCCGUCCCAGCAACCGACCAACCAUACCAUGGUGAUUCCUCUUCCCAGCAGCAACUCACCAUGCACAACUACGACGUCAGUGGUCCACACUCCACAGUUCUCUCCCCAGCCAACCAAGCAAGUGCCAACAGCAGCCAUGGACAAAACCAAUUUCUGAUUGCUGCAGGGGGUAGCCCUGAGCACCGCCAGAUCAGGUCAAACGAUGCUCUUCACUACAUAAGCCAGAUGCUGAUGGAAGAGAACGACGAGAGAGUCGACAUAUGCCAAGGGGAGGCUGCUCUCCAGGCUGCUGAGAAGCCAUUCCGUGACAUUCUUGGGGAGGUAUGCGUGCCGGCUACUAACCGGCCGCCAUUGCAUAGCAACAGCAAACCAGACAACGCUGAUAAGAGUGGUACCAGCUGUUACAAGAGGCUCUGGAGCACAAGCUUCAGUAAUGACUGUUCCAGUUACAGCUUGCUACAGCCCUUAACAACCCCGUUGAGUCCAUAUAUCUGCAAUAGUGGUCUUUCUCUACAAAAACGUCCUUUGACAAGUGUUGGACCAACUUCCGGAUUUGGUUUCCCCGCCUUGCAUUGUCACGGAGGUGUGGACGAGGAAAAUAUGUUUGCUCCAAAUAUUGAUAAGCUGGAGAUGUAUUUAGAGGACGGCAUACUUUAUAUUUCCCAACUGACUAUGAAGGCAAAAGUAGGAGAGAGGAGCAAAAACGCGAUCCUUGAGGUGGCAAACCAAAGGGAUAUCUUUCAAGGAAGGAGCAAUAAACAUCAUGCCAUCACCACUUGUGCAAUAAUUCGAAGUGAAAAUUUCGACCGAGUUCUGCUAUGCUAUGGUCGGAAGAGUUUCGAUCUAAUAACAAGAUUGCAAGAAAGGAUGGCGGAGGAAGGAAACAAGAACUCACAGAAAGGCCGGAGCAAAGGAUGUCGGAAACUAUGGGCUAGGAAGCAACCGAGGAAAGAAUUGGUUGAUCUCAGGACUCUCCUUGUCCAUUGCGCACAAGCAGUGGCCCAAGACAACCACCUGUUGGCCAGUGAACUCCUAAAGAAGAUAAGACAACACUCCUCAGCAGAUGGUGAUUGUACUCAGAGACUGGCAUUUUACUUGGCGGAUGGCCUUGAGGCACGCUUCGGUGGGAUCGGGAGUCAUGUUUAUGGCAAUCUAAUGGAACGGCGAACAAGUGCAGCAGAUUGGUUUGAGGCUUACAGGCUUUUUAUUGCAGCUUGCCCUUUCAUAAGGGCGUCAUACUACUUUGCCAACCAAACUAUUCUUGAUGUCUCACAAAGGCAACCAAGGGUGCACAUCGUCGAUUUCGGCAUCGACUUCGGCUUUCAGUGGCCAUUAAUGAUUCAGAAGCUUGCACAGCGAGAAGAGGGAGCCCCUAAGCUUCGGAUCACAGGCAUAGAAGUUCCCCAGCCAGGUUUCCACCCCUGCAAAAUGAUCGAGGAGACAGGGAAGCGGCUGGCUGAUUAUGCAAACAUGUUCAAGGUACCUUUUCAGUAUCAGGGCAUUGCCGCUGCAAGAUGGGAGACCGUUAAAAUUGAGGAUCUUAACAUCGACGAGGAUGAAGUUCUCAUAAUCAACUGCAUAUUCCGGAUGAAGAAUCUUGGCCAUGAAACCGAGGCCAUAAAUAGCGCAAGGGAUGAGGUGCUGAAAACAAUGAGGAGGAUGAACCCAAAGGUUUUAAUUUCUGGCACCGUGAAUGGGUUACAUAGUUCUCCCUUCUUCAUACAACGAUUCAAAGAGGUUAUGCUCCAUUACUCUUCAAUGUUCGACAUGCUUGAUGCAAUUGUUCCACGGGAUAAUGAAGCAAGAAAGAUGAUUGAGAGGAUCCCAUUUGGGCGGGAUGCACUUAACAUCAUAGCAUGCGAGGAUGCGGAAAGGACUCAGAGGCCAGAAAGUUACAGGCAGUGGCAAGCAAGGUUCCUCAAGGCUAGGUUCCAGCAGCUUCCUGUCGAUCCAGCCAUCUUAAAGAAGAUAGUACACAUGAAGAACUUACAUUAUCAUGAGGAAUUCUUUGCUGUUGAAGAUUGCGGCUGGCUGCUACAAGGAUGGAAAGGAAGAGUCCUUUAUGCUGUAUCUAAAUGGGAACCUAAUGAAACAUAUGAUGAUCAGUAA